rnacentral:tRNA from 1 species
GGAAGGUUGGCAGAGUGGCAAUGCUCCGGUCUCGAAAGCCGGUGGCCCGUUACGGGACGCAGGUUCGAUUCCUGUACCUUCCGCCA